rnacentral:misc_RNA from 1 species
GGGAUUAUUGGUGCAUCAUAUGGAAAUAACAAUGCUCAAGUGUAUCAUCUAUCCUGGUUCAUCUCCAGGCAAAUAUAACAUCAGCCAGAAGUGAAAGACAAAUACAUGUAAACAAACUAACCAGAAAAAAAAAAUUCCAAGUCAUAAUAUGGUACUAGAAAAUUUUCAAUCAUCUCGGAAGCCACGCCAAGAUCGCGUUAUGGCUGGAAAAUAGAGCCCAAACUCGAAAUUUCAUAUGUUUCAUGUGCUCACUGCUUCUUCUUCCACAUCCUUGUUCUUUUUUCUUUUACUUGUAUUGUUUGUACCUUGUUGCUGUUGUUCAGCUUUCUUUUCAGCUCGAAUCAUGGCUCGUCUUGUACGAGGGCGCAGCUCACGAACUUGUCUAGGAGGCAUCACAUACGGCUCUAGAGGUCUGUCAGCAAAAGGGUGCUCAUCAUUGGUAAAAAUCCUCAAUUUCCGAUCUCUAUCAUCACGCAACUUAUUUCUUGGCAGCAUUCGCAGGACAGCUUUGCGAAUAACUUCUGUUGGAUCCUUAGCCAUCUGGUCUUUCAGACUCCUCUCCUUGAGGUGGCCUAUGUAACCAGUGUGCCAUCGAUAGAACUUAUCCGUGAGUUUUCUCCCAGUGACACAAAUGUCCUUUGCAUUGAGCACAAUGCACAUAUCACCUUCUUCGCGGUUAGGUGCGUAUGUUGGUUUAUCUUUUCCUUGAAUCACGGUUGAUAUCUGUGAUGCUAGCCUUCCCAGGACCUGGCCUUUGGCAUCAAACACUCUCCAUCUCAGACCUUCCAAAUUGAUACGUUUUAUGCCAGCAAGAGCUUUCUUCAUGUUGCCACUAAAUGGCUGACCCAUCACCAUCUUCACUCCAAUAAUCAGUUCCUCUUUUCACACUUAGAGCUGAGGGUUAGCUAGGGUUUAACUGGAA